GCUUCUUCAUUCAUUGCAUAAAUAUUUUUUUUACAAACUUCUCUGUGUCUGGGCACAGUCCUAAAUGCUGCACACAGUGAACAAAAGGAAGAUACUGUCUUCAAGUUCAUGGUUAAAUUUGGAGAGACAGACAGCAAGCAAGUAAACCAUGGUCAGCUCUCCCUGAUUACCAGGAAGUCGUCCCACUGAACUAGCAGCAACUCUUAUCACAAUAAACUUAUCUUUCUUUCCACCCCACUGUGAAUCUGGAAAAUUCUUUUUCCAACCAGGGCACACAGAUCACAUACAGGGACUUAUGUCCCCCCAACCUUUUCCCUUCGGUGAACAGGCAAGAGCUUUGGAAGCAAUGGAGGAAUUCUGGCCAGGGACACACUCUGGUAUCUUCUGAAGACUCCACUGCUCUCUUCAUCUUAGUAACUGCUGCCUGAAUGAGUGAAGUUUCCUCUUUUCUUUUUUCCUCCUAACUGGGGACCAGGCCAACUGAUAUCGUGCAGGCAUGGGACAGGAGAUCUAAGAGCCAUUAGCGUGCGUGCCUGCCACUUGAAGACUCCCACGAGAGGAUAAGGAGAUAAUGGAACAGAUUAGGCUAUCAGAACAUUUGCCUUCAUCAAGACAACGUCUGUGCAACGUGAGGCACAUGGUGGUUAAAGCCAAUGUCCCCAGCCUCCGCCUCCCCAUUAGGACUAUAAGGUGGAAUCCCCAGCCCUGUCUUCCUGUUACUUUCACUUUGCCUCCCUUGACCUAGCUGGGCCUUGAGGGAACCUGCCACUCCUGAGUCAUCCUGAAAGUUCCUUCCGCGUCCCAGAGGAUCUCGGCCUGAAUACAACAAAUAAGUCUUGAAAUGAUAAUGCGACAGGAAUAUCAACUAGUCAACACCCAGACAACGUUGGGACAAGGCUCCUUCCUCUUCAGAAAUGCCCUGACAGCACGCAGAGGGAACCCAGGGUCCUACAAUGCCCCCCUUCAGCAGCAAGCAACCAUAGCAGUCUCACCCCUUUGCCCUUAUCUGGGUGCCCACACACCAUAGAGGGAAAUAGGAAGGUAUUUAGGCAUGAGCAGGGUAUUCAAAGGGGCCAAAGACUUGGCCCUCAAGAAAAAAAGUGGGGGAGGGAUGUGAGACUUCAAGAUCCCUUCAAGGAGAUAGAACUCAAAGUCUCUGGCCAAGACAAGAAUUACCAGACCCUCCUCAUUGCCCCACCCAUCUCGAUGUAAUGCCCACUCCCCCACCUUGAGCAACCUGGCUACUCCUUCCUAGCCCCCUAGUAGGAAGAAUAUGUGGCUCAUUCCUUACCCUGCCCCUAUGGGAGCCUUAUACACCCCCAACUAACCAGCAAGUGUAUCAUAGGACGCUUCUUUCCCAAACCAAUCAGCAGUUCAGUACGUGUAUGCUAAGACCUCUGCUCUCUCCUGGGCUAUAAAAACGGACACGACACGACCAAGCUCAUGGUUGGCCCUCCCUGAUUAUCAGGAAGUUGUCCCACUGCACUAGCAGUGUCUCUUAUCUCAAACUUAUCUUUCUUUUCACCCCCACCUCCAAGCCAAGUAAACCAUUCGUCCUAUACAGAGUAAGUACAAUUAUUAGCCUCAUUUUUUUUUUUUUUUUGUCUUUUCUAGGGCUGCUUCCCAUAGCAUGUGGAGGUUCCCAGGCUAGGGGUCGAAUCAGAGCCAUCGCCUCCAGCCUAUACCAGAGCCACAGCAACACGGGAUCCGAGCCAAGUCUGCAACCUACACCACAGCUCACAGCAACGUUGGAUCCCCAACCCACUGAGCAAGGCCAGGGAUUGAACCCGCAACCUCAUGGUUCCUAGUCGGAUUCAUUAACCACUGCGCCACAACGGGAACUCCUAGCCUCAUUUUUUAAAUGAGGAAACUGAGGCAUAGCGAGGUGGAGGGAUUUGCUCAGUCCCACAGCUGGGAAGCAACAGAGACAAAUUCCAGUGCAGGCUGUUUGGCUCCAGAAGCCACACCCUCCACUUCUACGCUGUUCUGCCUCUCCAGUGACGGCCUCACAAGAUUCUCAUGAGAAUCUAAUGAGAGAAAUGUAUUAAAGCAGUUUGCAAACUAUAAAGCACUGCACACCCACUGGUGCUGAUGGUGUGUCUGGCCAGGAUGUGCUGAGACAAUGACUGUGGCGGGGAAGUGAAUUCCAGUCUCCUGCUCACCAUGAGGCCAGGGUCCUUUCAGCAAUGGGGUUCUCUGAGAUGCUCCUGAUAUGAGUGGUGAGAGGCUGGGGGAUGUGCAAAAUAAUGAAUUCGGCUUCCUUCAUGGUGGCUCAGGUGUCCCUCGGAGAUACAGUCCGAAACAUUACCUUGCUCUUCACCAUGUUUUUAUUUUGGGGCAUCAUCCUGUAGGAAGAAAAGUCCUGUGGGCAGGGUGACUAAGGCUGGUGAGUCAUGCACCCUGCCAGCCUCCUCUGUGUACCAGCAUCCAUCUGCCGAGGUAACGACGGGAGAACAUGUGCCCACCUGCACCGGGGGCGAGGGCUCGGGGUAGGGAAGCUAGGACUUCCCUUCAGACAGGGCAGAUGGUUGCCACUUAACGAAGGCUCCCUCUAGUUACUCAUAGAACACCCCCUAUGUGCACGCACAAAAAGGGCUCCUGCCUCAAAGAGGUGCUUAUCAGACCUUAAGGGUGUGCAACAGGCUGAAGGAGUGCCUAAAUAAGGAUAAAUAACAGAUUACAUUUGCAAAACACUCUACAGUUUACAAACCGUUGUCACGUAUAGCAGUUCAUGUAAUCCUCCCAAAAGAUGAAGAGGUGGGUGUCACUAGAAUCCCAUUACAUAAAUAAGAAAACCAAUGCUCAGAGAACUAAUGUCAUCUUUGCAAGAGUUCACAGCUAAUUAAGAACUUUGAAUAUUUUUUUCUUCUUUUUAGGACUGCACCCACAGCAUAUAGAAAUUCCCAGGAAAGGAGUUCCCAUCGUGGCUCAGUGGUUAACGAAUCCAACUAGGAACCAUGAGGUUGCGGGUUCGAGCCCUGCCCUUGCUCAGUGGGUUAGGGAUCCGGCAUUGCCGUGAGCUGUGGUGUAGGUCGCAGACUCGGCUCGGAUCCUCGCGUUGCUGUGGCUCUGGCGUAGGCUGGUGGCUACAGCUCCGACUGGACCCCUAGCCUGGGAACUUCCAUAUGCUGCCGGAACGGCCCAAGAAAUG
rnacentral:lncRNA from 1 species